rnacentral:rRNA from 1 species
UGGGGAAUAUUGGACAAUGGGCGCAAGCCUGAUCCAGCCAUGCCGCGUGAGUGACGAAGGUCUUCGGAUUGUAAAACUCUUUUGGCGGGGACGAUAAUGACGGUACCCGCAGAAUAAGCCCCGGCUAACUUCGUGCCAGCAGCCGCGGUAAUACGAAGGGGGCUAGCGUUGUUCGGAAUCACUGGGCGUAAAGCGCACGUAGGCGGAUGUGCCAGUCAGGGGUGAAAUCCCGGAGCUCAACUCCGGAACUGCCUCUGAUACAGCACGUCUUGAGUUCGAGAGAGGUGGGUGGAAUUCCUAGUGUAGAGGUGAAAUUCGUAGAUAUUGGGAAGAACACCAGUGGCGAAGGCGGCUAACUGGUCCGGUACUGACGCUGAGGUGCGAAAGCGUGGGGAGCAAACAGGAUUAGAUACCCCGGUAGUCCCUGAGCGGGCUGGCAAGGCGCAU